rnacentral:rRNA from 1 species
AGCAGCCGCGGUAAUUCCAGCUCCAAUAGCGUAUAUUAAAGUUGCUGCAGUUAAAAAGCUCGUAGUUGAAUUUCGGGACCAGUAUGUCGGUCGUGCCUAGGUACGUACUGGCAUCGUUGGUUUCUCCUUUCUGAAGAACCAUGAUGUCAUUUAUUUGGUGUCGUGGGGAAUCAGGACUGUUACUUUGAAAAAAUUAGAGUGUUUAAAGCAGGCUCACGCUUGAAUACAUUAGCAUGGAAUAAUGAAAUAGGACGUUUGAUUCUAUUUUGUUGGUUUCUAGGAUCGACGUAAUGAUUAAUAGGGAUAGUUGGGGGCAUUAGUAUUCAAUUGUCAGAGGUGAAAUUCUUGGAUUUAUUGAAGACUAACUACUGCGAAAGCAUUUGCCAAGGAUGUUUUCAUUAAUCAAGAACGAAAGUUAGGGGAUCGAAGACGAUCAGAUACCGUCGUAGU